rnacentral:rRNA from 1 species
GACGAACGCUGGCGGCGUGCUUAACACAUGCAAGUCGAACGGAAAGGCCCUGCUUUUGUGGGGUGCUCGAGUGCGAACGGGUGAGUAACACGUGAGUAACCUGCCCUUGACUUUGGGGUAACUUCAGGAAACUGGGGCUAAUACCGGAUAGGAGCUCCUGCUGCAUGGGUGGGGUUGGAAAGUUUCGGCGGUUGGGGAUGGACUCGCGGCUUAUCAGCUUGUUGGUGGGGUAGUGGCUUACCAAGGCUUUGACGGGUAGCCGGCCUGAGAGGGUGACCGGCCACAUUGGGACUGAGAUACGGCCCAGACUCCUACGGGAGGCAGCAGUGGGGAAUAUUGCACAAUGGGCGGAAGCCUGAUGCAGCAACGCCGCGUGCGGGAUGACGGCCUUCGGGUUGUAAACCGCUUUCGCCUGUGACGAAGCGUGAGUGACGGUAAUGGGUAAAGAAGCACCGGCUAACUACGUG